CCGGGAUGGACAUACCUCUGGUGUACCAGUUGUCGUGCCAACGGCAUAGCUGGGUAGCUAUGUGUGGACGGGAUAAGUGCUGAAAGCAUCUAAGCAUGAAGCCCCCCUCAAGAUGAGAUUUCCCAACUUCGGUUAUAAGAUCCCUCAAAGAUGAUGAGGUUAAUAGGUUCGAGGUGGAAGCAUGGUGACAUGUGGAGCUGACGAAUACUAAUCGAUCGAAGACUUAAUCAAAUU
rnacentral:rRNA from 1 species